rnacentral:tRNA from 1 species
GCCUGGGUGGCUCAGUCGGUUGAGCAUCUGACUUCAGCUCAGGUCAUGAUCUCACAGUUUGUGGGUUCAAGCCCCACAUUGGGCU